CUCUUAUCAAGAGUGGUGGAGGGACGGGCCCAAUGAAACCCGGCAACCGGCCCUGGAUUGGCGACGGGGCGCUGGUGCUAAUUCCUGCAGAAUGUAUAUUCUGGGAGAUAAGAG
rnacentral:ncRNA from 2 species